GUCUGGGUGGCUCAGUCGGUUAAGCGUCUGACUUCAGCUCAGGUCAUGAUCUCACAGCUCGUGAGUUCGAGCUCUGCCUCAGGCU
rfam:Felis catus isolate Cinnamon breed Abyssinian chromosome B4, whole genome shotgun sequence.